UGCAGAGACGUGCUCCUGCCGCUGCUCACAGACCAGCUCAGCGGCCAGUUAGACGACAACUCCAGCAAGCCUGACCAUGAGGCCAGCUCGCAGCUUCUGAGCAGCAUCCUGGAAGUGCUGGACAGGAAAGAUGUGGGCCCCACGGCCAUGCACAUACAGCUGAUCAUGGAGCGGCUGCUGAGGAGGAUCAAUCGGACCGUGAUCGCGAUGAACCGGCAGUCUCCCCACGUGGGGAGUUUUGUUGCGUGCAUGAUUGCCAUCCUGCGGCAGAUGGACGACAGCCACUACACCCACUAUAUCAACAUUUUCAAAACCAACCAAGACAUCAGUG